AACGAACGCUGGCGGCAUGCCUAACACAUGCAAGUCGAACGAGACCUUCGGGUCUAGUGGCGCACGGGUGCGUAACGCGUGGGAACCUGCCCUUAGGUUCGGAAUAACUCCCCGAAAGGGGUGCUAAUACCGGAUAAUGUCUUCGGACCAAAGAUUUAUCGCCUUUGGAUGGGCCCGCGUUGGAUUAGCUAGUUGGUAGGGUAAAAGCCUACCAAGGCGACGAUCCAUAGCUGGUCUGAGAGGAUGGUCAGCCACACUGGGACUGGGACACGGCCCAAACUCCGGGGGAGGGGAGCAGGGGGGAUAAUGGGAGACGGGGGGGAGGCAGAAGCCCGGAGGGCCGGGGAGGGUUUGAGGGGGGUAGGGUUGGAAGCCUUUUUAUCCCGGGAUGGUAUGACGGUACCCGGGGAAUAAGGCCCGGGUAAAUUCGUG
rnacentral:rRNA from 1 species